AGCUCCAAUAGCGUAUAUUAAAGUUGUUGCAGUUAAAAAGCUCGUAGUUGGAUUUCGGAAUGGGCCAGUUGGUCCGCCGCAAGGUGAGUUACUGACUGGUUUGUUCUUCUUCGCAAAGACUGCGUGUGCUCUUUACUGAGUGUACGUAGGAUUUACGACGUUUACUUUGAAAAAAUUAGAGUGUUCAAAGCAGGCUAUCGCUUGAAUACAUGAGCAUGGAAUAAUGGAAUAGGACUUUGGUUCUAUUUUGUUGGUUUCUAGGACCGAAGUAAUGAUUAAGAGGGACAAUUGGGGGCAUCCGUAUUUCGUUGUCAGAGGUGAAAUUCUUGGAUUUACGAAAGUCGAACAACUGCGAAAGCACUUGCCAAGGGUGUUUUCA
rnacentral:rRNA from 1 species